UACGUAGGGUGCAAGCGUUGUCCGGAAUUAUUGGGCGUAAAGAGCUCGUAGGCGGUCUGUCGCGUCUGCUGUGAAAACUCAGGGCUUAACCCUGAGCUUGCAGUGGGUACGGGCAGACUAGAGUGCGGUAGGGGAGACUGGAAUUCCUGGUGUGAGCGGUGAAAUGACGCAGAGUAUCAGGAGGAACACCGGUGGCGAAGGCGGGUCUCUGGGCCGAUACUGACGCUGGAGGAGCGAAAGCGUGGGGAGCGAACAGG
rnacentral:rRNA from 1 species